CGAUUAAACAUUCGUUCUGGCGUCGAUAAACGACGAUAGUUUCAGAAGCGCCGUGUUAGACCAUACCUGAAGUCGUAGAUCGAGCCGUGCAUCUUCUUCAUGCACCUCAGGUGCCUGACAAGAUUGUCCUUUCUGCAGAUAGAGCUACCUUUUGGUAUUCUAUUGACAAACUGCGAAAAUACUAGUUUCAGAAUGUGAUGGGCAGCGAGGAAACUAUAUUCCAAAGGAACUAAUAAGGUAACCAUCUGGUAGAGAAAUCCUGGUACACCCCGUGGGACGUGUUUUAAAGUUGGAAGUAAAGUUUUAGGCGAACGGAAGAACCGGAUGCAUUAUUACCUGCCAGGGCAACGGCCUGUAAUGGGGCGAAGGAAAACCCCCGGAUCGCCACCAUAAAUUCCAUCGAUCUUUGAAUACAUUAUUGUCGCCGCUGUAUUCCCUCCAGCCGCGUUCCGUGCAAACCUGUGGAAAAAUAAAUGUGCACUGUUUACAAAGUAGAAUGGGUCACCACGACCGUUUCAGGGCACGGCGAGCAUGUAAACCAGUGGCAUCGCAGUGUCGUCCAAGGGGCGGACGGUGGAGCAGUGUGUAGCGUAGCCGACUACCAGGCAGGCAGCUCGGGUUCGAAUCUCGGCCGUCCGCCUCAGUUUUUCAAGGUAUAAAAGCUAUCGGAAGCCUGUGGCUUAAAUUUGAGAAGUAAUGAAAAGAUUAAGAUAAUAAAAACAGAGAUGUUAUGGAAAAAGAAAAGGUACACGAUAAGUGCAAUAGUCGAAAAUGUACAUGCACUCCUGAAUUUUAGACUCAGGCGUCGUUUAAAUUCUAAAUAUUACGCAUUCCACGGUUGGCGAAGUUUGUAUCGCGCACGCGAAAAUAGUGGAGAACGCCUUUGAUUUAUUUGUCGUGUUAUUAGAGCAUUAGGAAUGGCUGCCGGCGAUAUAUUAAAACCGAGCCAAGGCCUCUAAUUACAAUUACAUCCGACUGCGCGUCCCUUUCUCGCUGUUACCGGUAGCCUACUUUUAUUAUUCGGCUCUACAAUGGAGCGAUUUCUUACAACUUCGUAAUCGAUCCGCGGCGAAAGGACGUCGACACCAUUUACACCCCCGUUACCACAAUCCAGAAUCGUUUCGUCUCGCUAUUGAUAGUACGAGAAGAGGAAAUUGAAUCGCAGCCGCGGCUCGAUCGAAUGUUUCUUGAAUCGACGAGACGUUCUUUCGCUGCACAACUCGAACAAUGAAUCCUGCUCUAAUAAUAAACGAUCGACUGGGUUUGGCGUCGCGUUAGCUCGGUCUCCUUACCCAGAAUCUUCGACGGCAUCGUUUUUGCGCAACCCUACGCUCCGGCGACCGAAAAUCUAGACUCCGGGGCUAGACUGGUGCACUAUUUAUAUUGAAAUAAUUUUUUGUUAUCCAAACGAUGCCCACCCUUGUCUCAGAGUCACAAUUAUAGAGGGUUCGCGAGGAGGAAAUGAUUGCAUAACGAAAACGACGCUACGGCUUGGCGUAAUGCUACCACCAAGAAUCUCUUAUCGAGGAAGCUAGCGAUUCGUACAAGGAAAACGGUUCUGUUAACCCUUUAUAGGACAGAACACCCUGGGCAUCUUUUUCUUCCACUUUUUCUUGUGGAUGAGCGUAGAAACUUACAAGUACAAAAUUUCCGCCCCUUCGUGGUAACGAGUAUCGGUGACCUAUAAAGGGUUAAUGCGAUGGACGACGACUCUAUUCUUCGCCCUUUUAUUAUUGCGUGUGGCCAAUUGUUAAUAGCCCCCGCUGGUGGUUCUAAAAGUGGUGCACGCAAAAGCGCGUCGCAUCCCGUCAGCCUCGGCAGGUAUGCACGUGCCUACGUACACCGUGCGUACCUUGAAAAGUAUUCAGUUCAAGGUCACGGCUAAGUUUGUAACCGUGCCGAACAAACACCGAGCGACAUAAAACCGUGACGUAACGUAUCCAACGUUCGCGUACACCCUACGGCAAAGGUUCUCUCUAAAUUUGGAAUUUUCAUCGCCGAAACGUUUUCACAGUCGGACGCGCUUUCGAUUUUCCGUUUUGUUUAACGAUAUUGUACCUGUAUGAGGAGAUGCGGUCCUGCACCAUUGUCGUUAAGUCUGAACACGAAGGGUCCAUCCAAGUACUUCACUGCCAUACCGGAACAUUGUACUCAAGCGGGAGACGGGAAGACAAUUUUAACAGAUCAUGACGCAACUCGAUGGGGAUUCUUCUUUUUCGAAGAACAGAGGAAACGGGGGUGCUCGUCUGGAAAUGAACGUCGAAUUGUCAGCGUGGCUAGUUGAAAUAUUCGAGCCAGAUGCGGAGACCAGGAUUAUGCAACGUUUCAAGUUUUAUGAGAAGAUAUAAAAGAAGAAUCAAAAGGCAUGAUUCGCUAUCUCACAACAUGGAGGAACAUAAACUUGAGUGGAGACCAAGGGUGGAAGACUAUAAAACGUUGUAUAUAUUUACUAUCUCGCAACGUGCAGGAAGAUAAACUUGAGUGUAGGCCAAUGUUUAAAUGUAAACCGUAAAUGUGAACAGUAUGCAUCACUUUCUUCGAUAACAAGACCACGCAAUUGUAAAUAUAAGAUCUCAUCCUGAGUAGUCUUCAGCGGCCAGUGAAAUCCUUCAGCGAGGGCUGGUCGUUCGUCGAGCCGACAUGCUCCGCGAGCAGCCUUUGGCAUUCAAAUAUUUCAACGGAACCGCAUGCAGGCGGGACGGAAUCCCAAUUUCCACUGGGUGCACCCGCCACGUUUCGGUCUACGCAAUCGCUUUGACCUGCUCGCAGGUGCGCAGGUUGCUCGUAUGCCGGAUUCCUCGACGCUGCUACAGCUUUUAUGGGCUUUCGGUGGACACCGCGACACCGCAAGGACACCGGAAGUCUACCAGGUCGCGGCUCUGCGAAAGAAUUCCGCUGAUAACCGCUCGCGCUGAUCGUUAUCCUCGACACGCGACCCUUAGCUUGCGGUUCAGACUAGUCCAAUAAUUAAAUACUCCAGUGUAUCUAUCUCACGACAUGGAGGAAGAUAAACUUGAGCGUAGACCAAGGCUAUGCAGUGUUUUAAGUUUUAUAUAAAAAGAAUCAAAGAGUAUCACGCUGGCAGAAUGAUACCAAAUAAUCUAGUAAACGUAGGUGAAAUGAUCAGGCCCGCUUGGCUGCCCGACUAAAGGAAAGUGUCAGGUGCUGACGGGUCAAGUUCAAGCUUCUCACGCGUGUUGGGGAUCACGAUUUCGAAUUGAAACCUCGAACAGGGUCGUUCUUUUUCCCCUCUCUUUUAUAUUAGCAGCUUUUCAUCUACGUCAAGACUCGAUGUCAGAUAUUUCCUUUCCUUUUUUGACCUUUGUGCGUAGAAAACUUCCUUCGACGCUUUAUCAUGGAGUUCCGUUCUAGUCGAAACAGUGUUGCUUCUCGGAAUCUAUUUCCUCUGGCAGGGUAUUAAUAGAUAUACGUUCAUUGAAGUCUGCUGCGAUGACGUGUGUAUUUGUUGCAAAAAGGCCCGUCAGAAAAAUGUCUCGCGUGUCUGGCUUCGGAGGAAGGAGGUACCGCAAGGUUACUUAAACGACAAAUCGAUGAGACGUCCCAUCAGCGGAGGAGCUACUUCCUCGUUAGAAAUGGUUUCUGACCUAGCCCUCGACGUGUCACGAAUUCCUCUCGCGCGUUGUCUCAGCCCUUUACCUUCAAGAAAGCGAUUUUAGGAGGUCAGAAACGUCGACUAAUAUCGAGAAGCUCCUUUGUUUCCCACCUCGUCUCGUGACUCCCUUCGCGCUGCGAUUUUGGACUUUCGCCAUCGGCGUUCUGCUGUUUCUGAUGCGACGAUACGUAAUUACUUACCACCGCGAAGAAGGAGGGAAGCAUCGAGGAAAAUAUCAGAGAUCAAUGAAU